rnacentral:rRNA from 1 species
GUCCACGCCCUAAACGAUGGGCACUAGGUGUGAGGGCUGUUAAAGCCUUCGUGCCGAAGCUAACGCAUUAAGUGCCCCACCUGGGAAGUACGGCCGCAAGGUUGAAACUCAAAGGAAUUGACGGGGGCCCGCACAAGCGGUGGAGCAUGUGGUUUAAUUCGACGCAACGCGAAGAACCUUACCUGGGCUUGACAUCCGGAGAACCUCCUGGAAAACAGGAGGGUGCCCCGCAAGGGGAGCUCCGAGACAGGUGCUGCAUGGCUGUCGU